rnacentral:rRNA from 1 species
GACGAACGCUGGCGGCGUGCUUAACACAUGCAAGUCGAACGGAAAGGCCCUGGUUUUGUGGGGUGCUCGAGUGGCGAACGGGUGAGUAACACGUGAGUAACCUGCCCUUGACUUUGGGAUAACUUCAGGAAACUGGGGCUAAUACCGCAUAGGAGCUCCUGCUGCAUGGUGGGGGUUGGAAAGUUUCGGCGGUUGGGGAUGGACUCGCGGCUUAUCAGCUUGUUGGUGGGGUAGUGGCUUACCAAGGCUUUGACGGGUAGCCGGCCUGGGAGGGUGACCGGCCACAUUGGGACUGAGAUACGGCCCAGACUCCUACGGGAGGCAGCAGUGGGGAAUAUUGCACAAUGGGCGGAAGCCUGAUGCAGCAACGCCGCGUGCGGGAUGACGGCCUUCGGGUUGUAAACCGCUUUCGCCUGUGACGAAGCGUGAGUGACGGUAAUGGGUAAAGAAGCACCGGCUAACUACGUG